rnacentral:rRNA from 1 species
AGAGUUUGAUCCUGGCUCAGGAUGAACGCUAGCUACAGGCUUAACACAUGCAAGUCGAGGGGCAGCGGGGGUAGCAAUACCCGCCGGCGACCGGCGCACGGGUGAGUAACGCGUAUGCAACUUACCUAUCAGAGGGGGAUAACCCGGCGAAAGUCGGACUAAUACCGCAUGAAGCAGGGGCCCCGCAUGGGGAUAUUUGCUAAAGAUUCAUCGCUGAUAGAUAGGCAUGCGUUCCAUUAGGCAGUUGGCGGGGUAACGGCCCACCAAACCGACGAUGGAUAGGGGUUCUGAGAGGAAGGUCCCCCACAUUGGUACUGAGACACGGACCAAACUCCUACGGGAGGCAGCAGUGAGGAAUAUUGGUCAAUGGCCGAGAGGCUGAACCAGCCAAGUCGCGUGAAGGAAGAAGGAUCUAUGGUUUGUAAACUUCUUUUAUAGGGGAAUAAAGUGGAGGACGUGUCCUUUUUUGUAUGUACCCUAUGAAUAAGCAUCGGCUAACUCCGUGCCAGCAGCCGCGGUAAUACGGAGGAUGCGAGCGUUAUCCGGAUUUAUUGGGUUUAAAGGGUGCGUAGGUGGUGAUUUAAGUCAGCGGUGAAAGUUUGUGGCUCAACCAUAAAAUUGCCGUUGAAACUGGGUUACUUGAGUGUGUUUGAGGUAGGCGGAAUGCGUGGUGUAGCGGUGAAAUGCAUAGAUAUCACGCAGAACUCCGAUUGCGAAGGCAGCUUACUAAACCAUAACUGACACUGAAGCACGAAAGCGUGGGGAUCAAACAGGAUUAGAUACCCUGGUAGUCCACGCAGUAAACGAUGAUUACUAGGAGUUUGCGAUACAAUGUAAGCUCUACAGCGAAAGCGUUAAGUAAUCCACCUGGGGAGUACGCCGGCAACGGUGAAACUCAAAGGAAUUGACGGGGGCCCGCACAAGCGGAGGAACAUGUG